CAAAAACACAAAUCAACGCAAUGCAAUAAAUUGUGAAAGAAUUGUCUUCUAGGAGGGACCUCUGUUCUCCUGCAAAUGGCAGAUGAGAGGAGUCACAGGUUUUCUCUCCUCUUAAUUAUUCAGAUCUUGGCACCUGAGGAGCAGACCAGCUGGGGUUAGGAAUCCAAAGCAGGGCAGGAUCCGUCCACACACUCGUGUGUUUAUUUAUUUAUGCAGCUCCAGCAAAGAAAAUUAAAAACAGGGCUGGCCCCUGGCUGGGAGAUGGAGCCUGACACUGCAUAUGCGUCUGUGAGACUCAGUCUGGUCCCGGAUGCCCGACUCCUCGAGGUCUGUCUGUGCACUGGGCCAAGGCCCUGCUGGCCACAGAACAUAGGCGGUGAGGGCUGCAUAGGGAGGGGCUGUGGUUUCAGAGGCUGACGCAGCUGGCUGGCCUUCUGCUCCUUGUCUCCCGGAGGCUCCCUGCCCUCAGCAAUAGAAGUGCCCUGGUCUUUGCCAGAACCAAACAGUGGUCACAGCUAGGACCUGCACCGGGGGUCCUGAAUCCACCUUGCCCGGUGCCCAGAUGCCCCUCCUGCUCUCUGGAUGGAGCCCACCCUCAACAAGCACUCCGGCAGGACCAGGUUCCAUGAAGACAAUGCCACUUGGAAUCUGAUAAAUGGAGUCUCACUCUGAUGCCCAGGCUGGAGGGCAGCGGCAUCAUCUUGGCUCACUGCAACCUCUACCUCCCGAGUUCAAGCAAUUCUCCUGACUCAGCCUCCUAAGUAGCUGGGAUUACAGGCACACACCACCACACUUGGCUAAUUUUGUAUUUUUAGUAAAGACAGGGUUUCACCAUGUUGGCCAGGCUGGUCUCAAACUCCCCACCUCAGAUGAUCUCCCUGCCUCGGCCUCCCAAAGCGCUGGGAUUACAGGCGUGAGCCACCGCGUCUGGCCGGUACUUCAACUAAAUAUUUAAGAUUAUUAGUACAUUGAGCUCAUCAAUGCUUCCACUUUGGGGUCCAAGAGCAAAACUGGAGCUAAUUCAGAUUAUCACCACCUAAGUUGCUUACUUUUAAAAAUUAUUAUUAUUUUUAAAUUUGGAAUGUCUCAGGGUUUCUGCUCCAAUUCAUAAUUCCUGUGUCUUUAGUGGAAAUGUCAGUACUUUAUAGGAUGACACACACAGCAUUAUUCCUGGCUGUUGAGACACCAAAAAGCCUGAUUUACUGUUCCUUCCAGAGGAUCCCCAACACCGACAUUGACUAAAUUCCUUUUCUGCAAGCAUCCUGGCAGAUGUUCUGGUUAAGACCUUGCACCGUCACGAGCUCAUCCUUUUCAUGCUCCAACAGCUGUUGAGUGCUGUGUAGCCACCACCCAAGCAUCUGACAUGUCGAUUUCAUUCUAGAGCCCAGCUGGAACCCUAAGAGGUUGAAAGUGGAGUUUUGUCUCCUCUGCAGUGGACACUCAAAGAACUAGCCAGGAUGGGUUGGACCUGGGAGCAGAGAGACCAUGGCUCCCUUCCAAGGCUGGGAGAAGGGAGUUGCCACUCCUUCCCAAUCAAACCAUGCCAAGAACGAGGCUUUUGCAGGGAAAUCAGUGCAGAUGAGAACUUACCAACAGUUAAGAUGAAUAAAUAUAUCCAACUGCCUGGCCCAUGUCAACACGCAACAAUUAUUUGCUAAAAGAAAUAAAAAAGGGGCCGGGCAGGGUGGCUCAUGCCUAGAAUCACAGCACUUUGAGAGGCUGAGGCAGGCAGAUCACUUGAGGCCAGGAGUUUGAGACCAGCCUGGCCAACAUGGUGAAACCCUGUCUCUACUAAAAAUACAAAAAUUAGCCGGGUGUGGUGGUGCGCACCUGUAAUCCCAGCUACUCUGGAGGCUGAGACAGGAGAACUGCUUGAACUCGGGAGGCAGAGGUUGCAGUGAGCCAAGAUGCACCAGUGCACUCCAGCCUGGGUGAUAGAGUGAGACUCCAUCAAGAAAGAGAGAGAGAGAGAGAAGAAAGAAAAAGAAAGAGAGAGAGAGAAAGAAAGAAAGAGAGAGAGAGAGAGAGAAAGAAAAGAAAGAAAGAAAAGAAAGAAAGAACGAAAGAAGAAAGAAAGAAAGAAAGAAAGAAAGAAAGAAAGAAAGAAAGAAAGAAAGAAAGAAAGAAAGAAAAGAAAGACUGACUGCAUGAACAACAGCCCAGGAAACACAAGAGAAGUAGCGUGGAGUAGUGGCCAAGGAUGGGUGCUAGAAUCUCAGAGCCUAUAUCUGUAUAUCAAGAUGUCUCAGGCCAAUGCCUAAAAACAGUGUUCAAUAAAUAUCGAAUAGUAAUAUUACUACUGUUAUCACAAUUGAGAAUAACUGAGUGUCAACCAGCUGAUCUGCUUGCCAAUGAAGGGACUCCAGGAUCCUUAAGUCACUUCUAUUUUUCUCCACUUCCCUGGCAACUUUUUCUCCAAGACUAGAUCGAUUCAACACUCCUCCAAGUCCUGGGUUAACCUCAGUGGCCCUCUGCCUCCCAUUGUGAUCACCUUCGUCCACAGCAAUCUUUUCCUUCUCCGACAGCACAUUAUUACCUUGUCAUUGGGCACUUGAAGUAGACAUCCUUUGACAUCCUCUGUGAAUGUUACCUUAUUUCAUUCCUUGUUUUCCCAGCAUGUAAUGGGCAAACAAGGCCCUUCAAAAAACAGAUCUGACCCUGUUGACUUCUGCAGACACAUCUAGCAUCUCUUUCAACUUGAAAAAUCAUGUCUAUAUUCCUGCAUUCCUAAGCUACCAGCUAAAUUUUUUAUAAGUUUAAAUUUAUAUUUGGAUGUAAUUAUAUAUUUAUAAAUUACAUAUAUAUUUUAUAUUUUUAAGAUAUUUACUUGUGUAAAAUAAAUAAAUAAAUGGGUAAAAUUUUCAGCAUAUUGUAAAUACUGGAUAUUUUAAGAGAAAACCGUAAUAUAACUUAAAGUAUGUCCAACUGAGGCUCAAUACGAUUGUGAUUUGAUACCUGUCAUAAUUGAUUUUUAAAAAAAUACAUACAGGAGCUUCUCAUGGUUAGGAACUUUUCAUUGUUCUUUAUUCCCCUUGAACUUGUACACCCCUAGAAGAAUUUGAUCAUAAUGUAUCAUAGUUUUAUUCUUGGAAGUUUUUUUUAUUGAUUACUCUAUCACAUAUCACUGACUGCAACAAAAAUAUGCUCAUACAUUUACAUUUAAAUUUAAAAAAUGUCUCUGACUAUAAGUCUUUACAUUUUAAAAUAAGUUUUUUUUUAAACUUAUCAUUAUGGAUGAUCAUUCUGGUUGUUCGCAGAACACAAUUGAUCAAAGCAGCAUAAGUAUGGCAGAGCUCAGGAUAAAGAAUUAUUAAUCUGAAAAAAGUAAAAUUAUUUGGCUAUUCUUCUCUUAGUAUGAUAGGUGGGAUUUUUUUUUCCAUUAAUGUAUUCAUGAAUAUUACUUGUUAUUUUAAGGAGGCAGUUUCAUCAUCAAUUUUAUUCACACCGUUUUGUUUUUAUUGGUGUAAGCACUGAGCAUUCGUUCACAUAAACAAGCAGAUGGGAAAGGGGGGCCUUCUGUUGGAAGCCACGCACUUGUUUGGACUCCUUCCAGGUUAUGUGCCAAAAAUCACACAAUGAUUUAUCAUAAAAAUAUUUUUGAUAAUCUAUGAGCUGACAUCCCUAUUAGGUUCCUCUUCAAUUUCAGUGAAAGUGAAGAAUUGAAAACAAUUUGACUGUAAAGGGAUGUGGUUCCAGUUAUACACCCAGAUGGGGUACCCAGUUGUCAGAGAUGUUUGUGUUCUCAAUGCUCAGGCUAAUAUUUCAAAAUGUGUCUUUGCCUGAUGCCCUGAAGGACUUUUCCCAGGAGGGGAAAACGCCUUUGUAAGACGCAAGCUGGGUGAUGGCUUUUGUGUGAGGACGUCUUCCACCAUCCACCCUUCCCCAUCCUCCUUCUGUCCUGGGAGGCUGGUUGCAUGGACCACAGCAAUGGGCUCCCUUCUCUGCUGCUUCCAAGUUAUGUUCCCUGCCAGUGGUUGGAGGUCAGGGCAGGGAAGAAUAAAGUUGGGCUCCAUCUGUGGGAUGACCCAGGGUGGCUGCAUCUCUCUCAGGAAGGUCACAGCUCCUUCACAUUCUACACAGCCUCUCCUGUCUCCAGAUUCUGGAAACCUCUUUCUUCUCUAACUCUGCACAGGGCCCCACUAACCCUAGAGAGCUGCACUAUCCUUUGUGGCUUUCUUUACUUCACCCACACCUUUAUAAACAUUUCCUGUAUUAAACUUUCUUCGAAU
rnacentral:lncRNA from 1 species